rnacentral:rRNA from 1 species
GACGAACGCUGGCGGCGUGCCUAAUACAUGCAAGUCGAACGAUGAACCCGGAGCUUGCUCCGGCGGAUUAGUGGCGAACGGGUGAGUAACACGUGAGUAACCUGCCCUUGACUCUGGGAUAACUGCUAGAAAUGGUAGCUAAUACCGGAUACGACCCUCGGUGGCAUCACCAGGGGGUGGAAAGAAUUUCGGUCAAGGAUGGACUCGCGGCCUAUCAGCUAGUUGGUGAGGUAACGGCUCACCAAGGCGACGACGGGUAGCCGGCCUGAGAGGGUGACCGGCCACACUGGGACUGAGACACGGCCCAGACUCCUACGGGAGGCAGCAGUGGGGAAUAUUGCACAAUGGGCGCAAGCCUGAUGCAGCAACGCCGCGUGAGGGAUGACGGCCUUCGAGUUGUAAACCUCUUUUAGCAGGGAAGAAGCGAAAGUGACGGUACCUGCAGAAAAAGCACCGGCUAACUACGUGCCAGCCGCCGCCGUAA